AUUGAACGCUGGCGGCAGGCCUAACACAUGCAAGUCGAGCGAGCGGCGGACGGGUGAGUAAUGUAUGGGGACUGCCCGAUAGAGGGGGAUAACUACUGGAAACGGUAGCUAAUACCGCAUACUAUCGGAUAACCCAUAUGGGAUUAGCUAGUAGGUGAGGUAAUGGCUCACCUAGGCGACGAUCCCUAGCUGGUCUGAGAGGAUGAUCAGCUCAACUGUGACAGAGACACGGCACAGACGCCUACGGAGGCAGGAGGGGGGAAUAUUGCAAAAUGGGCGCAAGCCUGAUGCAACCAUGCCGCGAGGAUGAAGAAGGCACUAGGGUUGUAAAGUACUAACAGUCGGGAGGCGUUACCGGCAGAAGAAGCCCCGGAUAACUCCGUGCCAGCAGCCGCGGUAAUAC
rnacentral:rRNA from 1 species